GAUGAACGCUGGCGGCGUGCCUAAUACAUGCAAGUCGAGCGAACGGACGAGAAGCUUGCUUCUCUGAUGUUAGCGGCGGACGGGUGAGUAACACGUGGAUAACCUACCUAUAAGACUGGGAUAACUUCGGGAAACCGUAGCUAAUACCGGAUAAUAUUUUGAACCGCAUGGUUCAAAAGUGAAAGACGGUCUUGCUGUCACUUAUAGAUGGAUCCGCGUUGCAUUAGCUAGUUGGUAAGGUAACGGCUUACCAAGGCAACGAUGCAUAGCCGACCUGAGAGGGUGAUCGGCCACACUGGAACUGAGACACGGUCCAGACUCCUACGGGAGGCAGCAGUAGGGAAUCUUCCGCAAUGGGCGAAAGCCUGACGGAGCAACGCCGCGUGAGUGAUGAAGGUCUUCGGAUCGUAAAACUCUGUUAUUAGGGAAGAACAUAUGUGUAAGUAACUGUGCACAUCUUGACGGUACCUAAUCAGAAAGCCACGGCUAACUACGU
rnacentral:rRNA from 1 species